UCUAAUCCUUGAUAAACCAAAAUCCAUGCCAAAGUAACACUAGACCAUUUUGGGAUGGUUUAGGGUGAAUCACAAGGAACACAUUAUGCUAGUCCAAAGUUGUUUGUCUAGAAAUAUUGCCAUUCUAGGUGAAACAUCAUGAAAGAAACAUCUUGGUUUAGAUCAAUUUAAUCUUGUUUUGGUUCCAACCAAUAUCUGCUGAAAAGGUUCUGUUUCACAGCAGUUAAGACAUGCCAGAACCAAAAUGGUAACAACUGCCAAUAUUUUAAAUGGCUGUUGGAUGUGAGAGCACUAGAAGAUGCAGUUUGGAAUUGCAAAAAUUGAGGGUUAGAUGAUGGACAACCAUGCAUGAAGAACCAAUGUACUUGGAUUCGAGCUUUAUGAAGAUGAAGUAUGCCUAUGCAUUUUGGAUUCCAAUCCCUUGAGUUAUGGGUAAGGCACUCUCUCAUCAUUCCAAAAUCACAUUUUCCUUCACAUGAAGCAGUUCCUCCUGCUUAGGAUGUAUUUGCUAAAAGCUUUCCAUCGUCAAGAAUGGAGAUGCUGUCUCACUCAAUCUAGUUCUUCCUUUACUGGCUGACUCAUUUCCACAUAAUUCCUCAUAAAGCAGAUGACCAGCUAUGGUCUUCAGAGAGUUGUAGAAUGCAGCCCUUGAAGGGAGCCAGAAAACUGUCAAUCUCGGAAUUGCAUUCAAAAAUGGCUUUCCGCUCUUUCUAGUCAUGGUUGCAGAACUCUGGGACCUCUGCUCCCAAAAUAUAUACAAGAUUAGGGGUCUCAAUUAGUAUUUUAUGCACACUAGGCUCUCUUAAAUAUUUGUUAAAAAAAUAUCUAUUCAAGUUAAUGUUAGGAAUUUAAUUAUUUCCUGCCUUUUGUGACAGUGACAGUGAAUCUCAAAGUGAUCAAUAUUGUAAGAUUA